GUGCUUGCUUCAGCAGCACAUACCCUAAAAUUGGAACGAUACAGAGAUUAGCAUGGCCCUUGUGCAAGAUUGACACACAAAUUUAUGAAGCACUCCAUAUUUAC
ensembl:snRNA U6 U6 spliceosomal RNA